rnacentral:rRNA from 1 species
AAUGAACGCUGGCGGCAUGCCUAACACAUGCAAGUCGAACGAAGUCCUUCGGGGCUUAGUGGCGCACGGGUGCGUAACGCGUGGGAAUCUGCCCCUUGGUUCGGAAUAACAGUUGGAAACGACUGCUAAUACCGGAUGAUGACGUAAGUCCAAAGAUUUAUCGCCGAGGGAUGAGCCCGCGUAGGAUUAGGUAGUUGGUGUGGUAAAGGCACACCAAGCCGACGAUCCUUAGCUGGUCUGAGAGGAUGAUCAGCCACACUGGGACUGAGACACGGCCCAGACUCCUACGGGAGGCAGCAGUGGGGAAUAUUGGACAAUGGGCGGAAGCCUGAUGCAGCAACGCCGCGUGAGGGAUGACGGCCUUCGGGUUGUAAACCUCUUUUAGCAGGGAAGAAGCGAAAGUGACGGUACCUGCAGAAAAAGCGCCGGCUAACUACGUGC